rnacentral:rRNA from 1 species
AGUGAACGCUGGCGGUAGGCCUAACACAUGCAAGUCGAACGGCAGCACAGUAAGAGCUUGCUCUUACGGGUGGCGGGUGGCGGACGGGUGAGGAAUACAUCGGAAUCUACUUUUUCGUGGGGGAUAACGUAGGGAAACUUACGCUAAUACCGCAUACGACCUACGGGUGAAAGCAGGGGAUCUUCGGACCUUGCGCGAUUGAAUGAGCCGAUGUCGGAUUAGCUAGUUGGCGGGGUAAAGGCCCACCAAGGCGACGAUCCGUAGCUGGUCUGAGAGGAUGAUCAGCCACACUGGAACUGAGACACGGUCCAGACUCCUACGGGAGGCAGCAGUGGGGAAUAUUGGACAAUGGGCGCAAGCCUGAUCCAGCCAUACCGCGUGGGUGAAGAAGGCCUUCGGGUUGUAAAGCCCUUUUGUUGGGAAAGAAGAGCAGCAGGUUAAUACCCCGCUGUUCUGACGGUACCCAAAGAAUAAGCACCGGCUAACUUCGUG